GGGGUGGCCGCAGGGUGGGUGCUACUUCUGAAAAGCGGAAGGUCGGCGGUUCGACCCCGCCCCUGCCCA
rnacentral:tRNA from 1 species